rnacentral:rRNA from 1 species
AACGUAGGAGACAAACGUUAUCCGGAGUUACUGGGCGUAAAGGGCGUGUAGGUGGUUUUAUAAGUCUGGCGUGAAAUUUCUCGGCUUAACCGAGGCAGGUCGUCGGAUACUAUGAGACUAGAGGACGGUAGAGGCGAGUGGAAUUCCUGGUGUAGCGGUGAAAUGCGCAGAUAUCAGGAGGAACACCAAUGGCGAAGGCAGCUCGCUGGGACGGUACUGACGCUGAGACGCGAAAGCGUGGGGAGCAAACAGG